CCAGAAGAAGACCCUAACCGGUCCUCUCAACCCUGCCCAUCGUACCCUUUGUGUUGUUCCCUCGGCGAGGGCUUUUUCAAGCCCGCCGGCGGGGAAGAUCAACGAAAACUCUUUGCAAGCAAGCAUCCUGAAAACCUCUGAUCGAAUACAAAUUGUCAC
rnacentral:misc_RNA from 1 species